rnacentral:rRNA from 1 species
GACUGCAGGCUGCAACUCGCCUGCACGAAGUCGGAAUUGCUAGUAAUCGUAGGUCAGCAUACUACGGUGAAUACGUUCCCGGGCCUUGUACACACCGCCCGUCAAACCAUGAGAGUUGGCAACACCCGAAGUCGGUAGUCUAACCGCAAGGAGGACGCCGCCGAAGGUGGGGUUGAUGAUUAGGGGUUAAGUCGUAACAAGGUAAC